rnacentral:rRNA from 1 species
UAGGCCGUUUGUAAGGUGGUGCAUGGCUGUUGUCAGCUCGUGUCGUGAGGUGUUGGGUUAAGUCCCGCAACGAGCGCAACCCCUAUUUUUUGUUGCCAUCAGGUAAUGGUGGGGACUUUUGUGAAACUGCCGGGGUAAAAUCGGAGGAAGGUGGGGAUGAUGUCAAGUCAUCAUGGCCCUUAUGUCCAGGGGUACACACGUGCUACAAUGGGCGGUACAAAGGGG